GUGUGAGUUUUGAAAAAGCCCACUGACAGUUACAAAGUGCAUCAAUGUGAUACCCAGAUUUGUGCAAUACGAUACCCAUGCUUUGGUUCUAUGGCGAUCACGGUUGCCUUUUCACAAUAAUAAAUACGACAGCUAGCAAAAAUAAAUCACCUCAUUUUAUGUAAGACAUCUCUCUUUAACAGGCCACACUAUAUUUAUAAUCAUUAAUCUAGCUCACUGCUAUGUCAUUCACAUUUCAGUUUUACAUGAAUAUGCAAAGAAUACAAUAAUCAACUGAACUGUCAAACCUAAACAAUUCAAUUUAUUACUUAGCACAGAAUCUGUUGAAUAUUUUUGCCUCCCAGCUGAGCAAGGGAAAUACUGUCAGCUUUUUAAAAUACAGUCUAAUGCUUGGUCAUAACUACUCAUCUGUCAAGUUGACACCUCAUAAAAAAAAAGAUGAGAGAGUUAACAUUACAAGGCCCUAGAAGAAGGACAUGUUGCAAUUCAAGUCUGUAUUCUUGACCUUGCCCUGUUACUGUGAAGACUCAUGGGUCUGUCCAGUUAGUCUCUCCUCAUUGCCUGAAAGCAUUCCUUGCUCCAGCGGUCCUUGUCUCACAAAUCGUUCUCCAGCCAACUUUUCACAUUUUCUCUUCACACUUGAGACUACUUCAUGGGAUCCUGAUCAUUUGGUGUUUCUUCUCCUUUCUUUUUGAGCAAAGAAAGGACAAAUGAGUCAGAAAGAGGAGAGAAGAUAAUGAGGGUGACUAACUCAGGAUCACUUCUGUCACUUGUAGUGGCUGAGGGCCAGGCGAUACUCCAGUGACACGCUCCCGGCUGGCCCCAUCACACAGCCAUCAAGAACCUACUGUGAUCAUCAGAUACUUACUUCGACAUUUAUUCCUUACAGCUAAAUCUUUAAGGAAGUGAAAGAAUCAGACUUUAGGAUCCUCUUAAGAUGCAGGUACAUCAAGUUGAUGGAGAUUUAAUCCGCUGCUCCUGAGGCUUCUGGGAGAGAUUUCCUUUUCUCUUCUUUGUUUGCACAGCUCCUGGGGUUCAGCUUUGGAUUUGGACCCGCCUCUGCAUGUAGGUCGCUGGAGGGCAUCUGUUCUUUGUUCAGACAGGACGGGGUUAAAGGAGCAGCUGAUUCGGGGGCUCUGGCUCACUCAGGCUGGGGGAAGGGAGGUGUAUGGAUGCGGGGUGAGCCUGUGGCAGCAGAGGCCGGCGUGACAGUGCACCAGCCUGAGGCGCGCGUGCGUUCUCCUGGGGAAGUUGUCCCUGGAUCACGGGACCCUGGCAGUGGCGGGCUGCACAGGCUUCUGGGAGGGGAGGUGUGGAGAGUGAGCUGUGCUCGCGCACAGGCUUCUUGGUGGUGACAGCAGCAGCCUUAGCGUCUCAUGUCUGUCUCUGGUGUCCGCGCUGAUAGCCGCAGCUCGCACCCGUGUCUGGAGCUCCUUUAAGUAGCGCUCUUAAUCCCCUCUCCUUUGCACCAGGAAACAAAGAGGUAAGAAGUCUCUUGCCUCUUCGGCAGGUCCAGACAUUUUCCCGGACUCCCUCCCGGCUAGUCAUGGCGCAGUAACCCCCUGCAGGCUGUGUUCACGCCGCCACCCCCAGUCCUCUCCAGGCGCUCCGACCGAAGCCCGAGCCUCAGCUCCCAGCCCCACCCACCCCGGCAGCUCAGAAGAUGCUGUUUUAUAUUCGACCUCCACUCUGGUUAAAGAAGGCAAUUUGUUCCUCCUCAAAUGUUUUCAAGAGGGAUUUAAAAUAUUUUGACUUUUAAAUUAUGCAGUUUUUUCCAAAACUUUAAAAGCCAACUCAGGAUCAGCGCCCCCUGUUCCAAUGCCAAAGGAAGAUUAAAAUAAUAACUCACACAGAUGCCCACACUACCUGAAAAUGUGCACUUUGGGAAGUUAGGUGUUAAAUACAACUUGAACUUAAGUGCAGAGAGUCUUCUACUAAAAAACUUUUACAAAAGUCACCAUGGUCCCAUUUGAAAUUACCCAGGUCAGGAGCUGUCCCUCUGGUCAGUGACUCUGUAGGAAUAACCACAGGGACUGCUUUGUGAUAAAGAUCUUGCUUCCUAUUUCAGAAGCUCUGAACACCCAAGAUAAAAGCUAUCUCAUUUUCACUUGCUUUUAAGAAACUGAAAAUAGGGACUUUCCUGGUGGUCCAGUGGUUGAGAAUCCGUCUUCCAGUGCAUGGGAUGCUGGUUCGAUCCCUGAUCGGGGAACUAAGAUCCCACAUGCCGCAGGGUAACUAAGCCUGCGUGGUGCAACUACUGAGCCCACACGCCCUGGAGCUCAUGUGCCACAACUAGAGAGAAGCCUGCGUGCUGCAAUGAAGAGCCCACAUGCCACAACGAAAGAUCUCACGUGCUGCAACGAAGACCUGACGCAGCCCAAAAUAAAUAAAUAUUUUUAAAAACCUGAAAAUAACUUUAAAAAGUGUAUGGUAUGGGCUUCCCUGGUGGCGCAGUGGUUGAGAGUCCACCUGCCGAUGCAGGGGACACGGGAUCGUGCCCCGGUCUGGGAGAGUCCCAUGUGCCGCGGAGCGGCUGGGCCCGUGAGCCAUGGCCGCUGAGCCUGCGCGUCCGGAGCCUGUGCUCCACAGCGGGAGAGGCUGCAACGGUGAGGGGCCCGCAUACCGCAAAACAAAAACAGAAGAGGACACUGUCUCUGGAGAACUCCUGCCACACACAUGCUCCAGCUACAUAAAACACAUCCUGGGGGGUCUGGGGUCCUGGUCCUUUUGAGCCCAGCCCUGUUCUGCCCAGAAGCAGCACCCAAGGAGCACGAGAAGGGCCCCCCCCCCGCUUUUGUGACUCCCAACAAAGACACACAGAAGACAGAAACCUCUCCUUUAAAAAAUUCUUUUCCUCCUUUCUUCUUUCCCUCACUGCCUCUCAUCUUGUUCUUUCUUUCACCUUCUUUUCUUGAGGGAGACACAAACUUAGUGUUAUCAUCUGAACAAGUUCUCCUUCCAAAUUCACUGCUGGUUUUCUAUAUAAUAUAUAUAUUCCCCCCCCCAGGGGGAGGCUAGGGGAAUAUUCCUCACUGUUUCACCUGCUAUGAUUUAGGCUACAGGCUAAAAGCCAGCAGAACCUGCUGGGAAACAGAACUGGGUACGGAGGUGAAGAUAAACAAGCCAUUUUUGCUCCCGUUUUGAAGGACCUAUCCAUUGAAAAUGUUACAACAUGCCUCAGUGGUUUUAAGACAUCUCGCUUUGCAGACUCCAUACCAUCCUUCACUGUCAAACUCAGCGCAGCAAAUAUUUCAAACUGCAGUGUUAACCUACUCUAUCAAAUUACAGCGUGCCAAUCAAUAAGCUGUACCACAUCUCUGCUAACUGCCAUCUUAUUUGUGUGUUACAAGAAGCCGACUGGGCUGAAUUAAAUACAAUGAAAGACCUUC